rnacentral:rRNA from 1 species
CCUACGGGGGGCAGCAGUGGGGGAUAUUGCACAAUGGGGGAAACCCUGAUGCAGCGACGCCGCGUGGGUGAAGAAGUAUUUCGGUAUGUAAAGCCCUAUCAGCAGGGAAGAAAGAAGACGGUACCUGACUAAGAAGCCCCGGCUAACUACGUGCCAGCAGCCGCGGUAAUACGUAGGGGGCGAGCGUUAUCCGGAUUCACGGGGUGUAAAGGGAGCGUAGACGGCCGUGCAAGCCAGGAGUGAAAGCCCGGGGCCCAACCCCGGGACUGCUCUUGGAACUGUGCGGCUGGAGUGCGGGAGGGGCAGGCGGAAUUCCUGGUGUAGCGGUGAAAUGCGUAGAUAUCAGGAGGAACACCGGCGGCGAAGGCGGCCUGCUGGACCGCGACUGACGUUGAGGCUCGAAAGCGUGGGGAGCGAACAGGAUUAGAUACCCGGGUAGUC